AAGUCGUAACAAGGUAACCGUAGGUGAACCUGCGGUUGGAUCAUUAAAAAAAAUUGAAUCGUCUCCCGAAAGGGAUGACGUCCAACCCCCAUAUUGUGAACUUGUAAACCUCCCUUUUAGCUAGGGAUCUAAUUUGCUUGGGAAUGUGCCGUUAGCGGUCUUCCCAAGUUCAUUUUUUCUCUUGUUAUAUUUUUUAAAUGCCAAAAAUUGAAAGAACUUGUCUUUACCGUAGUUUAAUAUAUAAAAUAAUAAACAACUUUUGACAACGGAUCUCUAGGCUCUC
rnacentral:misc_RNA from 1 species